rnacentral:rRNA from 1 species
GAUGAACGCUGACAGAAUGCUUAACACAUGCAAGUCAACUGUGGCGGACGGGUGAGUAACGCGUAAAGAACUUGCAUCACAGUUAGGGACAACAUUUGGAAACGAAUGCUAAUACCUGAUACUGUGAGAGAGCUUUGCGUCCCAUUAGCUAGUUGGAGAGGUAACGGCGCACCACGGCGAUGAUGGGUAGCCGGCCUGAGAGGGUGAUCGGCCACAAGGGGACUGAGAAACAGCCCUUACUCCUACGCGGGGUAGGCGUGGGGAAGAUAGGACAAUGGACCAAAGUCUGAGCAAGCGAUUCUGUGUGCACGAUGAAGUUUUCGGCAUGUAAAGUGCUUUCAGUUGGGCAGCGGUACCAACAGCAGAAGUGACGGCUAAAUACGUGCCGGCAGCCGCGGUAAUAC